GGUAACAGAAUGGGUCCUCAUCUCAGGAUGUUUCCAAAAUUGCACCAUGUCCUGAAAGUAACCCCUCUUGCGGAGACCUGAGGCUUCUUCAGCUGAAGCCAGAUGCAAACCCUGGGAAGUAUAUUUGAACACAUACCAGGUCAUGGUUUGGAAACCUGGGGACUUACUGUCAAAAUGUAGGACCCUUUCUCCUCUAGUAUGAGGUGGGGAAAGAGGAUCCACAUUUCCUUGUCACAAGCUCCUGUCUCCUCCUGUGCAUCCCCACCCAGACUACAUCACAUUUGACAUCCAGCUAACCAAGCAGGGCUGGACAGACCCUACACCACUUGUUAAGCAAGGACUCCUUUCAGCUGCUUAGUAACCCAAGCUGCUCCCCACUCCUCUAUGGGAGCCAAGCACUCAGCCUCAGUGGUGCACAGAGCUUGGGGAAAGAACAUGGCUUUGUGAGUCAGGCUUAACUAGUGGACUUCAAACCCGGAUCAAAUUUUAGUUUAGUUUUGAUUUUUGGACACCCAUCCUUAAAGAAUCUGUUCUUUGCAGAUACAAUAGACUGCACUGAACCUGUUUGUUCUGUGCAAACUACUGGAAGGUGUCAUGAGCCUCUCUGUGUGGUGAGGGAGGAGCAGUAGACAGACAGAAGCAGUGUGAGCUCCACCACCAAGUCCCAUUGAAGUGGCUGACCUGGAUGGACCAUCUCCAGGAGUAAUACAGUACAGAGAUAACUCUGGAUGUCCAGAUCUGAGCUGUAAUCUCUGUGGGCCUUGGGAAAAUCAUUUAACAUCCUAGUCCUUCAUUUUGCCAUCUGUCUAGUGGGGUGCUUUGUAAAUUAUUUGUGAGAUCUAGGGAUUAAAAAUGCACAGUGUGUGCAAAUAAUAGUAACGAUUAUUUUAUU